rnacentral:rRNA from 1 species
CCUACGGGAGGCAGCAGCAAGGAAUCUUGCGCAAUGGGCGAAAGCCUGACGCAGCGACGCCGCGUGGGGGAUGAAGGCCUUCGGGUUGUAAACCCCUUUUCUCGGGGAAGAAAGAUGACGGUACCCGAGGAAUAAGUCUCGGCUAACUACGUGCCAGCAGCCGCGGUAAUACGUAGGAGGCGAACGUUAUCCGGAUUUACUGGGCGUAAAGAGGGCGCGGGCGGCACUCCAAGUCGGGUGUGAAAGUUCCUGACUCAAGCAGGAAGGGGCAUCCGAUACUGGGGAGCUAGAGGGCAGCAGAGGGAGAUGGAAUUCCCGGUGUAGUGGUGAUAUGCGUAGAUAUCGGGAGGAACACCAGUGGCGAAGGCGGUCUCCUGGGCUGUUCCUGACGCUGAGGCCCGAAAGCGUGGGGAGCGAACCGGAUUAGAUACCCGUGUAGG